UACGGAGGGUGCAAGCGUUAAUCGGAAUUACUGGGCGUAAAGCGUGCGCAGGCGGUUUGGUAAGUCUGCUGUGAAAUCCCCGAGCUCAACUUGGGAAUUGCAGUGGAUACUGGCAGGCUGGAGUAUGGUAGAGGGAGGUGGAAUUCCCGGUGUAGCAGUGAAAUGCGUAGAGAUCGGGAGGAACAUCAGUGGCGAAGGCGGCCAUCUGGGACAACACUGACGCUGAAGCACGAAAGCGUGGGGAGCAAACAGG
rnacentral:rRNA from 1 species